UACGGAGGAUCCAAGCGUUAUCCGGAUUUAUUGGGUUUAAAGGGUGCGUAGGCGGCCUAUUAAGUCAGGGGUGAAAGACGGUAGCUUAACUAUCGCAGUGCCUUUGAUACUGAUGGGCUUGAAUGUACUUGAGGUAGGCGGAAUGUGACAAGUAGCGGUGAAAUGCAUAGAUAUGUCACAGAACACCGAUUGCGAAGGCAGCUUACUAUGGUAUUAUUGACGCUGAGGCACGAAAGCGUGGGGAUCAAACAGG
rnacentral:rRNA from 1 species